GACAGAGGGGGCAAGCGUUGCUCGGAAUCACUGGGCUUAAAGGGCGCGUAGGCGGCCUGUUAAGUCGAACGUGAAAUCCCCGGGCUCAACCCGGGAACUGCGUCCGAUACUGGCAGGCUUGAAUCCGGGAGAGGGAUGCGGAAUUCCAGGUGUAGCGGUGAAAUGCGUAGAUAUCUGGAGGAACACCGGUGGCGAAGGCGGCAUCCUGGACCGGCAUUGACGCUGAGGCGCGAAAGCCAGGGGAGCAAACGGG
rnacentral:rRNA from 1 species